AUUGAACGCUGGCGGCAUGCCUUACACAUGCAAGUCGAACGGUAACAGGUCUUCGGAUGCUGACGAGUGGCGAACGGGUGAGUAAUACAUCGGAACGUGCCCGAUCGUGGGGGAUAACGGAGCGAAAGCUUUGCUAAUACCGCAUACGAUCUACGGAUGAAAGCAGGGGACCGCAAGGCCUUGCGCGGACGGAGCGGCCGAUGGCAGAUUAGGUAGGUGGUGGGAUAAAAGCUUACCAAGCCGACGAUCUGUAGCUGGUCUGAGAGGACGACCAGCCACACUGGGGCUGAGACGCGGCCCAGACUCCUACGGGAGGCAGCAGUGGGGAAUUUUGGACAAUGGGCGAAAGCCUGAUCCAGCCAUGCCGCGUGCAGGAUGAAGGCCUUCGGGUUGUAAACUGCUUUUGUACGGAACGAAAAGACUCUUUCUAAUAAAGAGGGUCCAUGACGGUACCGUAAGAAUAAGCACCGGCUAACUACGUGCCAGCCGCCGCCGUAAUAC
rnacentral:rRNA from 1 species